ACGGGGCCGGCGGCGGCGGCGGGAUCUACCCCGACCCGCCAGGAGGCGCCGCGCCAUAAGGACGGAGCGGGAGCGGCACCGCCCGGUAUCCAUCCGCCACCGGCCGGGACUACAGCCACACAUGGAGCGGGGGGCACGCGCCUGCCGGGACACGUGACCGCGCAACACGCACGUGACCCCGGGGCCGGCUGCGCGCCGUCGCGUGCGGCGCCUCAGGGAGAGACCGGGAUGAGCGGAACGAGGAACGGCAACGAGUGGAGGGGAGCGGGGAGUGGGGAGUGAUAAAGGAAUGGGGAGAGAUAAAGGAAUGGGGCGGGAUAAAGGAAUGGGGCAGGAUAAAGGGGGAGGCUUCGAGCGGGGCCGGGAGACCCGGGGCAGCCGGAGGUGUCAGGGUGUGGAACGAGACUCGCAGCGCCGAAGCAGGCAGCGCUCGGCCUGCAGCCCGGCCCGCUCCGUGCCUCAGAGCGCGGGAUGAGGCGGCGGUGGUACCUGAGGGUGAGCACAGCGCGAGGAGCCGGGCGGGACAUGGGAGGAAUGGUGACAAUGGUGACAAUGGUGACAGUGGUGACAAUGGUGACAGAGCGCGGUGUGUUCCACAUCACAGAGCAGCAACGCGCUGCUAACACGGCUCAUCCCGCCAGCCUGCACCGCUGCUGUCCAUUCACAUCGGUACCUUCCAUAAAGACCUCAGUGAGAAUCUGUCUGUUACCUGGCCUAAGAAUUCCUGGUUGGACUGUGUGGAAGCGAGAGCACUGUGUGCAGAUCAUACCUUCAUCUCACCAGCCUCCUCACUGACACCCAUCAGUGGCCACAAGAGUCAGUAGGUGUCAGAAAGUCUGUUUUACAACAGAAUGGACACGCACAAAACUUACCUGCGACAGCAAAUUGUGUUUUAGUGGAAGAAAGGAGGGUUUGUGGAGCACUAACACCUAAAAACAUCCCUGGAGACUGUGAGAUGGAUGUCAGCACACAGCAGUGCCACGAGGAUCAGCCCAUCUAAAGUACCACUACAUGCCUCCCCUGCAAGAGCCGGCAGGAGGGAAAAAUGGAGAGGAAACAAGAAAACUCCGGGCACAUUUGAGUCAGGACAUGAACUUCACCAGCUCAAUGUAGGAGCGUGAGAACGUGUGGAAGAUGGAAGUGACUGGGAAUGCCAUGAGGAGGAUGCCACUCAGUAUGCUGCUCAGUGCCACCACUUGGCCAGGAAUGCUCCUGGGAACCAUAUCUCCAUAGCCUACCGUGGUCAUGGUGAUGACAGCCCACCAGUAGCAUGCAGGGAUGCUGGUGAACUCCUGCGAGUCUGCCAUCUCGUUCUCAAUGACGUACAGGAGCGGUGCAAACAGUGCGAUGGCCACGCAGAGGAAGAGCAGCAGGAGCCCGAACUCCCGGGUGCACCUGCGGGCGGUCAGCCCCAGCGUCUGCAGCCCCAGGGAGUGCCUGGCCAGCCGCAUGACGUACAGAAUCCUCAAGGCACGGAGUAUUCGGAGGACCAGACCGACUUUGUCCAGGUAGAUGCUCCCAGAGCUGGGCUUCUUGUAGCCCACCGAAGUGGUGUCUACCAGCAAAGUGAUGUAAUAUGGCAGAAUAGCUAUUAUGUCGAUCAGAGUUAACGGUCUCCUCAAAAAUGCAAACUUGCUCUUUGCCUGGAUGAAUCUCAGCAGGAACUCCAACGAAAACCACGCCACACAGACAGACUCCACAAUGAAAAUAUUGUAGCACAUCUGGGAACACUCACCCUGCAGGAAAGAGGAGGAGUUUGUAAUCAGCACUCGGAUAAUAACUAUUUUAGUUGGUACAGUGACAGGAAGAGAGUUUUGUGGGCUUCUUUAAACCCAAAAUAUUAAAGGAGUUGAAUCUGUUGCUAUGGAAAAACACAAUGACAAAUUGGAACGAGUUAAAGGCAAUCUUAGAAAAGAACUACUUAUUCCACAGAAGAUACUGCUUGGUAAUUUCAAGCAUUCUAAAUAGCAAAUAAAAGCUUAACGAGGUUUUACAGAGAAGAAUGUUUUAUAGAAGAAUGCCCAGGAACAACAUUUUCUUUGGACAUAGAACUCGACACGACUGGUUCUUUUGCAGAUACCUCCUCUUACAGCACCAGUCCAAGUUGUCUUCCUCAAUUCCCCAGUAGAGCAGCUCCUCUUGAAAGGACAGCGCGCACAUCUCACGCAGGAGCCGAAGU